rnacentral:rRNA from 1 species
UACAGAGGGGGCAAGUGUUGUUCGGAAUUACUGGGCGUAAAGGGCGCGUAGGUGGCCUUCUAAGUUGAACGUGAAAUCCCUGGGCUCAACCCAGGAACUGCGUCCAAGACUGGGAGGCUUGAAUCCGGGAGAGGGAUGCGGAAUUCCAGGUGUAGCGGUGAAAUGCGUAGAUAUCUGGAGGAACACCGGUGGCGAAGGCGGCAUCCUGGACCGGUAUUGACACUGAGGCGCGAAAGCGUGGGGAGCAAACAGG